CCGAAGUGUGCAGCGUCUCUAGACCUGUGGCUCCAGACUGUUUACCCAGGGGCCAAGAUUACUUUAUCUGCAAGAGGCCUUAUACUCACAGGUUCCCCAAAUACAACUCAGCCACAACAUCCUAAUCGGACAACUUGUCAAUCAACAUGGAACAGUACCCUGAAAAUCACGACCAUCUAAUGAACUGUUUAACUGUGCCAAGCGUGACCCUUUAGAGAAAGGGGCUUCCAUGCCGAAGGUCAAAUUGUGGCCGUUGUUCAGUGUCAAGCGGAAUCCUAGCAACCAAGCCACGUCAGCACAGCAGCAAAAACAGUUUCAGCAGCAGUCGUAUAGUAAACAUCAACAACAGUGUGCAUAUGCAUUAAAAUACGAGAGGUAUGAAUGCAAAUAUGUC